rnacentral:lncRNA from 1 species
GGCUUUUCUACCUCAGGAAUAGAUUACCUUAGCUGUAUUUGGUAAAACUUUUAGGAAUUUUUGGUGCUCAAUGCUCUUCAACUUCGUACUUUAUUUGGCCUUUUAAACAUUUUUUAAUUCGAGCGUCACUGAUGAGUCUUAUGUAGACGAAACGCGCGUCUGGCGUAAAUAUAAAAUUUUAAUCCUGGUAUCUAUGAUGAGUUUAUUUGCAACCACUGG